rnacentral:lncRNA from 1 species
UGGUGCUGCUGCUGGCCCUGCUGUGCGACGUGCUGGGGCUGGUCCUGCUCCUCCUGGGGCUGUUCGCUCCUCUCAGCUACUGGGACUUCUUCGUUUACUUGGGAGCGCUGCUGCUCGCCUUCAGUAUUCUCUUCUGGAUCUUCUGGUACACGUUCAACAUCGAGGUCCCCUACAGGGAGCUGGGUUUUAAUUGACCUUCAGCACUGAAAUGGGAGCUUACGCUUGGAGGAGCAAUCUCACCUCACCAGCUGGGAAGCUGCAAAGCAUCGUUCCAUUGGUGAAGAGCAUCCACAAAGACUGCGGUUCCCCGAGCAUCGCCUGCCCACAUGGACACCAGGGAAAGGGACUGAAGAGGACCGGACUGUGAAUGUAGGGAGCAAGCAGAUGGAGAGGAACAGCAGCAAACAAGGACUCCAUUAUGCCACUCUUCAACAAAAGGUCUUCUAUUGCAAACCUGCCACCAAAGACACAGAGCGAGAUGCACUGUACUGACCUGCUGAGCCUGCCCUGGGCACGAGUACUGCAGACACCCUUUGAAUGGUGCCUUCGUGUCCCCUCUGAGCACCCUCCUACCCACUGCCAUGAUCUCAGAGAGCCCAGCAGGAUCUGCCUGGCAGCAGCAGAACUGCUGCAAAGUGUCCUGGUGAGCACUUGCAGGAUCCAGGCGGCAGCAUGGACCAAUUCUCCCAGCCCCACUGAGGGUGUGAAGAGGCUGAGCAGGGCUCACAGCAUGUGGCACCAGCAGGACAUGCAGCCUGGGGACCUCACCUGUACUUUGAUGCACUCAAUGGGAGAGGGAGACAACAAAAUAUGGCAGGACAGGGGAUUUCCUAACAGAAGCCAGCUGGUGGCUGUAUGGAGGUCUUAGGUACAUUUUACCUGAUCUCACCAAGGUCUCAGGCACUUUCUAAUGGCACUUACUGAUGUACUCAGAAGGUCUGUUCAAAGAACUACUGAAGCUGAGGACAGAUAGAAAAAGAUGCAGUGUUUCAGCUGCCAAACUGGAGGCUCAGUGCAGAAACAAGCCUCCCUGCUAACUCCAAGUACAAAUCUCAGGUGGAAGGGGGUGAAGAGAUCCACGUCUUCCUCCUCCCGCAUUCCCAACACAGUGUUCAGCUUACCAUAAAGACAUCUGUGGGGUGGAACCACAUCUAACACCUACCAGAUAGGCUGUUCCACACUUUCCAUUGCAGGCAUCAGUUUCCAGUCGUUUAAAACUUUAUCCAGCUUCACUCCAUUGUGAUUUCCCAUCCUGGA